GGACCCCAUCUCAAGAAAGAACACCCGCUGAGUUUAAGCAUAUAAUUAAGCGGAGGAAAAGAAACUUACAAGGAUUCCCCUAGUAACGACGAGCGAACCGGGAAGAGCCCAGCAUGAAAAUCGGGUGGCAGCGUCGCCUGAAUUGUAGUCUGUAGAAUCAUCCUUAGCGGUGGACCGGGCCCAAGUCCCCUGGAAGGGGGCACCUGAGAGGGUGACAUCCCCGUUGGGUCGGGACCCUACCGCACCACGAGGCGUUGUCGACAAGUCGGGUUGUUUGGGAAUGCAGCCCUAAUCGAGUGGUAAAUUCUGUCCAAGGCUAAAUACGGGUGAGAGACCGAUAGUGAACAAGUACCACGAGGGAAAGAUGAAAAGAAAUUUGAAAAGAGAGUUAAAGAGUGCUUGAAAUUGCUGGGAGGGAAGCGGAUGGAGGCCGACAAUGCGUCUCGGUCGGAUGCGGAAUGGCUCAAGCUAGUCUGCCGCUCG
rnacentral:ncRNA from 1 species